GGACGAUUAGCUCAGUUGGGAGAGCAUCGCCCUUACAAGGCGAGGGUCACUGGUUCGAGCCCAGUAUCGUCCACCA
rnacentral:tRNA from 6 species